rnacentral:misc_RNA from 1 species
GAUGAAGAACGUAGUGAAAUGCGAUAAGUAAUGCGAAUUGCAGAAUUUCCGUGAGUCAUCGAAUCUUUGAACGCACAUUGCGCCCACUGGUAUUCCGGUGGGCAUGCCUGUUGGAGCGUCAUUAUCCUCCCUCAAACCCCGGGUUUGGUGUUGGACCCAAGUUGUGUGAACAACUGGUCUCAAAGACAAUGACGGCGUCCGUGGGACCCUCGGUGCAACGAGCUUUUAGGAGCACGCAUCGAGUUGCAAGGACCUUCCGGGCCGGUCUCCUUUACCAUUUUACAAGGUUGACCUCGGAUCAGGUAGGAAUACCCGCUGAACUUAAGCAUAUCAAUAAGCGGAGGA